rnacentral:piRNA from 1 species
UAUAUUAAUGAGACAGCAGGGCCAAUAGC